UACAGAGGUGGCAAGCGUUGUUCGGAAUUACCGGGCGUAAAGGGCGCGUAGGCGGCCUGCUAAGUCGAACGUGAAAUCCCUGGGCUCAACCCAGGAACUGCGUCCGAUACUGGUUGGCUUGAAUCCGGGAGAGGGACGUGGAAUUCCAGGUGUAGCGGUGAAAUGCGUAGAUAUCUGGAGGAACACCGGUGGCGAAGGCGACGUCCUGGACCGGCAUUGACGCUGAGGAGCGAAAGCGUGGGGAGCAAACAGG
rnacentral:rRNA from 1 species